rnacentral:rRNA from 1 species
AUGGGAUUCCUGGUGACCUCCGCCAUCUUCUUCCUCGCCGGCUUCAUCGCCUGCCUCUUCUCGCUCCUCUGCUGCAACCGCGGCGCCUCCACCAACAUAUUCCGUUUGACUCUGGUGAUUACUGCUACAGAUUGUUGUUGGAUGAUCUCGGGCGGCUCGCUAGCCCAGCCGCAGUUGUUUUUGCCCAUGUGUGUUGUUGCUUUAGUAGCAUCCUCUGCUUUAUUUUACGUAGCAACAGAGCACCACUCUUACUCUGCACGUCUCUCCAGAUUCUGCUACAAUUACAAAUUUACAAUGCAUACAUGCAUGAGCAGUGCAUGUGUUGGCUAUCCAUGA